GAUUUUUCACCUCACCAGGGCGCGAGAAUCUUGGAAACAGCCACCAGGGUGGGCGGGGCAAGGGCUGGUGCUCCACCAAUCACCGAGCCAGCCCCUGGAAGCGCUGAGCCGUGGCCAAUCGGAACGCAGCGGCUUCCUCCUAGCCUGGCGCGCGAUUAUUUGAAGACGCUCACGGAGCGGCUGGCUAGGCUGAGGAGAGCUCGCCGGGCUCUGAGGCGCAGAAUUCAAUAAAGAAAAUGGCAGCUCUUACUCCAAGGAAGAGGAAGCAGGAUUCUUUGAAGUGUGACAGCUUUUACACUUCACUGAAAAUCUGUUUCCAUCACCUAAUAAAAAGCACUGUUUUUAUCAAAACAGUGAUAAAAAUGAAGAAAACCUGCAUUGCUCUCAACAAGAGCAUUUUGUUUUAAGUGCGCUCAAAACAACUGAAAUAAAUAGACUGCCAUCAGCAAAUCAAGGCUCACCAUUUAAAUCUGCGCUCUCCACU
rnacentral:lncRNA from 1 species